AAUGCCUAGGAAUCUGCCUGGUAGUGGGGGAUAACGUUCGGAAACGGACGCUAAUACCGCAUACGUCCUACGGGAGAAAGCAGGGGACCUUCGGGCCUUGCGCUAUCAGAUGAGCCUAGGUCGGAUUAGCUAGUUGGUGAGGUAAUGGCUCACCAAGGCGACGAUCCGUAACUGGUCUGAGAGGAUGAUCAGUCACACUGGAACUGAGACACGGUCCAGACUCCUACGGGAGGCAGCAGUGGGGAAUAUUGGACAAUGGGCGAAAGCCUGAUCCAGCCAUGCCGCGUGUGUGAAGAAGGUCUUCGGAUUGUAAAGCACUUUAAGUUGGGAGGAAGGGUUGUAGAUUAAUACUCUGCAAUUUUGACGUUACCGACAGAAUAAGCACCGGCUAACUCUGUGCCAGCAGCCGCGGUAAUACAGAGGGUGCAAGCGUUAAUCGGAAUUACUGGGCGUAAAGCGCGCGUAGGUGGUUUGUUAAGUAGGAUGUGAAAUCCCCGGGCUCAACCUGGGAACUGCAUUCAAAACUGACUGACUAGAGUAUGGUAGAGGGUGGUGGAAUUUCCUGUGUAGCGGUGAAAUGCGUAGAUAUAGGAAGG
rnacentral:rRNA from 1 species